rnacentral:rRNA from 1 species
GUCGUGAGACAGUUUGGUCCCUAUCUGCCGUGGGCGUUGGAUAUUUGAAGGGGGCUGCUCCUAGUACGAGAGGACCGGAGUGGACGAACCUCUGGUGUACCGGUUGUCACGCCAGUGGCAUCGCCGGGUAGCUAUGUUCGGAAGAGAUAACCGCUGAAAGCAUCUAAGCGGGAAACUCGCCUUAAGAUGAGAUAUCCCUGGGGACUAGAUCCCCUUGAAGGGUCGUUCGAGACCAGGACGUUGAUAGGUCAGGUGUGUAAGCGCAGUAAUGCGUUCAGCUAACUGAUACUAAUUGCCCGUAAGGCUUGAUCCUAUAACA